AGCUUAGUUGGUAAAGAAUCUGCCUGCAAUGCAGGAGACCUGGGUUCGAUUCCUGG
rnacentral:tRNA from 1 species